GACAGAGGGUGCAAACGUUGUCCGGAUUUACUGGGCGUAAAGAGCGUGUAGGCGGCCAAACAGGUCCGUUGUGAAAACUGGAGGCUCAACUUCCAGACGUCGACGGAAACCGUGUGGCUAGAGUCCGGAAGAGGAGAGUGGAAUUCCUGGUGUAGCGGUGAAAUGCGCAGAUAUCAGGAAGAACACCAAUGGCGAAGGCAGCUCUCUGGGACGGUACUGACGCUGAGACGCGAAAGCGUGGGGAGCGAACAGG
rnacentral:rRNA from 1 species